rnacentral:rRNA from 1 species
CCUACGGGAGGCAGCAGUGAGGAAUAUUGGUCAAUGGACGCAAGUCUGAACCAGCCAUGCCGCGUGCAGGAAGACGGCUCUAUGAGUUGUAAACUGCUUUUGUACGAGGGUAAACGCAGAUACGCGUAUCUGUCUGAAAGUAUCGUACGAAUAAGGAUCGGCUAACUCCGGGCCAGCAGCCGCGGUAAUACGGAGGAUUCAAGCGUUAUCCGGAUUUAUUGGGUUUAAAGGGUGCGUAGGCGGUCGGAUAAGUUAGAGGUGAAAUCCCGUGGCUCAACGUCGGAAUUGCCUCUGAUACUGGUCGGCGAGAGAGUAGGUGCGGUAAGCGGAAUGGAAGGUGUAGGGGUGAAAUGCUUAGAGAUCAUACGGAACACCGGUUGCGAAGGCGACUUACCAAGCUACUUCUGACGUUGAGGAACGAAAGCGUGGGGAGCAAACAGGAUUAGAUACCCUAGUAGUC